AGCCCUAAGCGGGUGGUAAACUCCAUCUAAGGCUAAAUACGACCACGAGACCGAUAGCGAACAAGUACCGUGAGGGAAAGUUGAAAAGCACUUUGAAGAGAGAGUUCAAGAGUACGUGAAACCGUUUAGGGGUAAACCUGAGAAACCCGAAAGGUCGAAGGAAGAAAUUCAUUCGCGUUUCGCGAUUGGCGACGGACGGUCGAGCGACGGGAAGCGUUCGCGUUUCCCGCGCCUUCGGUUCGUCGAACCGGUCGCGAACGCGUGCACUUUUCUUCCGGUAGGACGUCGCGAUCCGUCGGGCGUCGGUCUAAGGUUCGCGGUGGAGCCCGUCGUUCGCGUUUCGGCGCGUGUAACGGCGGACCCGCGUAUCCCGGCCGACCCGCUCGACGGUACGCUAAAGGUUUAAGGCCGCUCGUUUUGGAGCGUUCGGCUCGCGGCAAGCGCGCCCGUCGCGUCGGCGAUCGGACCGAGUGCCGAUUCUGACCGCGGGCGACUGUUGGCCGCGAAGUUCUCGAACAGACCUUCGAACCGAUCCGCGACGCUAUAGCUUUGGGUACUUUCAGGACCCGUCUUGAAACACGGAA
rnacentral:rRNA from 1 species